ACUAUCAAGGCCAAAUGCGCCACCAAACUUUGUCUUCUAUUGAGUCCCCAAAUUAUUUUUUUUUUCUUUUGCCUGAUCAGCCAUGGUCUCGGAAACAAGCUGAGCGUCAUGAUAGAAAUUUUUCACACAGCUUCGGAUAGUGACGUUGAAGAAACCAUUCCUUUCAGAAAUCAUCGAACGGCUUGCAUGUCAAUCUAGAUUUCCCCCAGUCAGCGUAAGCUUUCCUGAGCUUCAUACUCACCGCUCAGACAGUUCUGAAUAUGGUAAUGAUCAUGAAACAUCAGUGUUGUUCCUUAACGCUUUAAUAUUAGGGAAUGGGUGAAUGAGGAUGGCCUAAGAAUUGGGAUCCUCUGAAUCAUAUUCCACCUGAUUAGAGAAAAGAGAAAGACAAGCCAGACUAGUUCUUCCUAAGGUCUCACAAGCAUUCAGAUUCGCACUUCAGAUCAACCCAACUAAAAUGCAUGUCUCUACAUCCAAACGCACCACUCACGCUUCUGAAGAAUCCAGAGAAUCUCUCACAAAAUGAACCCACAUUUUUCAACGACUCGUGACCUGGCUCCACAUCAAAAAAUUCAGAUAAACACUUCGAUGAUCUACAAAUAGGCGAAAACAAAACAACCAAAUUCGACCGAACAACUGGGUAAUUCAGGACACCAUCUGUUACAGGAUCACACAUUACCGAGUCCCAAGCAUAGUCGUGUACAAUCUGUUGCACCGAUGCUGCAAGAUGUGAGGCCUUUGGAGGAAAGGGAUCCAAUGGAUUGUAAAAAUGAGGCAGAGAAGUGAGGGUUUGUGAGAGAGAUUGGAGGGUGGAGGUGGAGUCACUGAAUGAGAGAGUGAGGGAGGGAUUGGGGACAAAACGGUGGAGUUUAGAGGAUGAAAGAAGAGGAGAAAGUGAGGAAAAGAACAGCUUAAAGCAAAAGAGAGAGGACGAGAGAGGAGGGAAGGUGAGAAGGAUUUUGGUUGAUGUGAGAAGCGAAUUGAUGUAAGGGGUGGGAUCCUCGAGAUGAAGAAGUGGGUUGAGGUCUAUGAGGAGAACCAGGCGUUCCGUUAUACUGUAACCUGUGAUUAUAUCAAUGGCCUUUCCCGCCAUUGAAGACAAAGGCUGAUGAACGGUGACUUCGAAUCGCUCAAUCGAAUGUGGUGCCGGCGGGGAAGAGAGAGAAGAGAGCGUCUGGAUUGGAAGGCAGAAGGGAAAGAGAAGGAUGAAACUGUGUCGUUUCGCACAACCACGUCCGCAUGGAUGCCCAGUGUGGAUUGGCGGGAUGUAAUAGAUUGGCGGAAAUCACCGUUGAUGGAAAUCAUCAGUAAAGAAUGAAGAAAACAGAGGAUUCUCUUGAUGGAAUAUUCAUUUCCCUUUACUUACUAGCCAAAAUCCUCCAGUGACAUGGGAUUGGAGCAUAGGCUUGAUGAAAC